UACAUAGGGGGCAAGCGUUGUCCGGAAUCACUGGGCGUAAAGGGAGCGUAGGCGGGUGUUUAAGUUAAGUGUGAAAGCCUGGGGCUUAACUCCAGAAAUGCACUUAAUACUGGACACCUAGAGUGUGGGAGAGGUAAGUGGAAUUCCUAGUGUAGCGGUAAAAUGCGUAGAGAUUAGGAGGAACACCAGAGGCGAAGGCGGCUUACUGGACCACAACUGACGCUGAGGCUCGAAAGCGUGGGGAGCAAACAGG
rnacentral:misc_RNA from 1 species